rnacentral:rRNA from 1 species
GAUGAACGCUGGCGGCGUGCCUAAUACAUGCAAGUCGAGCGAACAGACGAGGAGCUUGCGCCGCGGACGUUAGCGGCGGACGGGUGAGUAACACGUGGAUAACGUACCUAUAAGACUGGGAUAACUUCGGGAAACCGGAGCUAAUACCGGAUAAGAUAUUGAACCGCAUGGGUCAAUAGUGAGAGACGGUUGUUGUGGCACUUAUAGAGGGAUCCGCGCCGCAUUAGCUAGUUGGUAAGGUAACGGCUUACCAAGGGGACGAUGCGUUGGCGAACUGAGUGGCUGGUAGGCCACAUUGGAACGUAGACACGGUCCAUACUACUACGGGAGGCCGCAGUAGGGAAUCUUCCGCAAUGGGCGAAAGCAUGACGGAGCAACGCCGAGCGAGUGACGACGGUCUUCCGAUCGUAAAACUGUGUUACUAGGGAUGAACCAAUGUGUACGUAACCAUGCCCGUAUUGACGGUACCUAAUCAGAAAGCAACGGCUAACUACGUG